CUGAGCUGAGCUAAUCAAAAGGCCAUGGGUAGGAGGCUUGCAGGUGUGACUUUAGGAUCAUGGCUUCUCCCCACGAUUUUUUGGGGGUCGAGGGAAGCAGAGCAUGGUGCUCCAAUCCCAGAACCCAGCUGUCCUCAAGCUCAGAGGACCAGGUCCUGGCCUGGCUGCUGCUGGGACUCCUCCCUAUGGGCAUCCCUGCACGUCCUGUGUGUCCCUGAGGAGGGACAUGGGGAACUCAGGGGCCACCUCUCCUCCAACUGUGGGGCCAGAGCAGAGAGCCUCUGCACACCACCAGCCUGUCCUCCCCAUGCCCCAGGAGUUCAUCCUUUGCUGCCUGGCCCGGGACCCUGCCCACCGGCCUUCUGCCCACAGCCUCCUCUUCCACCGCGUGCUCUUCGAGGUGCACUCGCUGAAGCUCCUGGCAGCCCACUGCUUUAUCCAGCACCAGUACCUCAUGCCUGAGAAUGUGGUGGAGGAGAAGACCAAGGCCAUGGACCUGCACGCGGUCUUGGCGGAGCUUCCCCGGCCCCGCAGGCCCCCGCUGCAGUGGCGGUACUCGGAAGUCUCCUUCAUGGAACUGGACAAAUUCCUGGAGGAUGUCAGGUGAGAACUGAUGUAAGGUUGGGGGCCAGGCAGCUGUCAGGCCUGAACCCCCAGCCACCCUGGUGUGUCCCCAGGAAUGGGAUCUACCCACUGAUGAACUUUGCAGUUACUCGGCCCCUGGGGCUGCCCCGUGUGCUGGCCCCACCCCCAGAGGAGGUCCAAAAGGCCAAGACCCCGACGCCAGAGCCCUUUGACUCUGAGACCAGAAAGGUCAUCCAGAUGCAGUGCAACCUGGAGAGAAGCGAGGACAAGGCGCGCUGGCAUCUUACUCUGCUUCUGGUGCUGGAGGACCGGCUGCACCGGCAGCUGACCUACGACCUGCUCCCAACGGACAGCGCCCAGGACCUCGCCUCGGAGCUCGUGCACUACGGCUUCCUCCACGAGGACGACCGGAUGAAGCUGGCCGCCUUCCUGGAGAGCACCUUCCUCAAGUACCGUGGGACCCAGGCCUGACCCGGAGCCCCAGCCCCAGGGGACCAUGCCGGGGUGCUGCCUGGGCAGGCCAUGUUAGGGAGACCCCAGCACCGCGGGGCUGCCCUCCUUCAUGUGCCUGGGAGCACAAAGGCCCCGGUAGUGAAGGAACCCCCGCCUCCUGAGAGUGGGGCUGACCCUGCCUCAGGCGCCGAGGGGUUGGGGGGUGGGUGUGGGGGAGCCGUUAGGCCUCCCAGGUCCUUAGGAUCAGGGUUGCCCCCGGAACCCCUUCCCAUAUCCUCCAUUCUCCACCCUGAGUUCCUACCCAGGCUGCCUGGCCAGGGCCACUGCCUCAUCAGCAUGCAGGAGGCUGCCCUGUAGGGAACCCCAGCUCUGAGGCUUGGGGGUGAGGGUCAGCCCUGGACAGACCUCUGCCCAGGGAACUGCUCCAUGGGGUCUGGGAGAGCAGCCAUCCCCGGCUGGCACCACAGACCCACACAAGGAGCCUGCACAGCAAGCCAGCGGUGACACACCUGCAGGUGUCAGGCAUGGCACUGGGCACAACAGGGACCUGGCAGGAGAAACAGACCACAGAGAGGUCUGGAGUUGAGGCUGUCGUCAGCAAAGCCCCUGGUCCCACACAGCUCUGCCCUAGAGCCACCUCUUUGACCCUUUACCCACCCGGAGACCAGAACCCGCAGCCCCUCUGCAGAUCUCCUCUGGCCACUGCACCCCUCCAGUGGGCUUUUUCUCUGAUGCACUCCCUGGCCUGGAGGGGUCAGGGACCCCACAUCCUCUCUGCUCCUCAGACUCACACCCCCUCCAUGUUACCUCCCGCACCUCCUCCCUGGGGCAGCUGCUCCCUGGGCCUCUGAGGAUGUCAGCUCCUGGCUCCCUGCCUGUCUCCCACUGCACUCCGGGCUGACUGAGAGAUGUCUAUGCCCUCAUGCCUUCUACCCCUGCCUUUCUGGCCUCUUGAUUCUCGGCUUGCCACUCCUCCAAUUCCAAACUUAGUGAAAUGGCCUUAAGCAUUUUAAACUGUAUGUAUAAAUAUAGCGCAUUCAUGCCUUUUUAAAAGCAUUUCAAAUGUCAACUAGGAAGCCACACCACUGUAUUAGUUCUAUACUGCCGCUGUAAAAUUUACCACAAACUUAGUGGCUUAACACAAAUUUAUUGCAAUUCUGUAGGCUGGAAGUCUGACUACGGGUCUCACUGGACUAGAAUCAAGGCUGGCAGGCUGCCUUCCUUCCUGGAGGUUCUAGGGGAGACUCCGUCUCCUGCUCCUUCAGGCUGCUGGCAGAAUCCACAUCCUUUCGGUUGCAGGGCCAAGGUCCCCACUUUCUUGCUGAUUGUAAACUAAGGCCACUUCCAGCUUGUAGAAGCUGCCUACAUUCCUUGGCUCUUGGCCCCCUCCUCCAUCUUCAAAGCUAGCAGGUUCAGUCUGUGUCACGAACCAUUUCUCUGGUUCUCUGCAGACAGGAAAGGUUGUCCCUAAGGACUCAUGAGAUUAGGUUGGGCCCAGCCAGAUAAUACAGGAUAAUCUCUCUCCUCAAGGUUUUUAAUAUUAAACACAUCUGCAGGACACAUUUUGCCACGUAAACUAACAUUCACUGGUUCCAGGGAUUAAGGAAUGAACCUCUUUUGUUGGGGAAGGGUGGCAUUCUGCUGACCACAGCACUCCAACCAAAAGCCAAAAACCAAAGCAAGACUUACUAACGCAUAUCAAAUAAAUUAAAUGUACAAAAUAGUGAAUCUCAGUUAUCUUAAAUAUUCCAAUACUAUUCACAAAAUUAUUCAAAUUCUCACGCCUUCCAACUCAAAAUUAGCAAUCUAAAGUAAUUUCCAUAUCCUAGAUGGAAACCCUCAUGCUAAACUGUCUGAUUAUGCAUGGUCCUAAAUGGUUUCAGUGGCAAAUACAUAACAUUGUACUACUGAUUAAACUGAACUUAAAAGCAUCAA
rnacentral:sRNA from 1 species